rnacentral:rRNA from 1 species
AAAACGACUCUCGGCAACGGAUAUCUCGGCUCUCGCAUCGAUGAAGAACGUAGCGAAAUGCGAUACUUGGUGUGAAUUGCAGAAUCCCGUGAACCAUCGAGUCUUUGAACGCAAGUUGCGCCCGAAGCCUUCAGGCCGAGGGCACGCCUGCCUGGGUGUCAUGC